GCCGUCCUAGCUCAGCGGUAGAGCGCGUGGCUUUUAACCACGUGGUCGUGGGUUCGACCCCCACGGACGGCG
rnacentral:tRNA from 1 species